rfam:Ornithorhynchus anatinus chromosome 2, whole genome shotgun sequence.
CCCCUCUCAAGGUUGCACCUGGAGAGUUUCCAGUAUUUUACCAGUCACAUCUACAGGAGGGAGAGGCAAGCAGAGGCCUAUCCAUUCCAUUACUAGCUUGGGCAGUGGCUAGUGAGUGGAAGACAAUCUGCUACAAUU